rnacentral:rRNA from 1 species
UACGUAGGUCCCAAGCGUUAUCCGGAAUUACUGGGCGUAAAGCGUGCGCAGGCGGUUAUGUAAGACAGAGGUGAAAUCCCCGGGCUCAACCUGGGAACUGCCUUUGUGACUGCAUGACUAGAGUACGGCAGAGGGGGAUGGAAUUCCGCGUGUAGCAGUGAAAUGCGUAGAUAUGCGGAGGAACACCGAUGGCGAAGGCAAUCCCCUGGGCCUGUACUGACGCCCAUGCACGAAAGCGUGGGGAGCAAACAGG